GUAAUAUAUCGGAACGUGCCCAGUCGUGGGGGAUAACGUAGCGAAAGUUACGCUAAUACCGCAUACGAUCUAUGGAUGAAAGCGGGGGACCGUAAGGCCUCGCGCGAUUGGAGCGGCCGAUAUCAGAUUAGGUAGUUGGUGGGGUAAAGGCUCACCAAGCCAACGAUCUGUAGCUGGUCUGAGAGGACGACCAGCCACACUGGAACUGAGACACGGUCCAGACUCCUACGGGAGGCAGCAGUGGGGAAUUUUGGACAAUGGACGCAAGUCUGAUCCAGCCAUUCCGCGUGCAGGAUGAAGGCCCUCGGGUUGUAAACUGCUUUUGUACGGAACGAAAAGGUCUCUAUUAAUACUGGGGGCUCAUGACGGUACCGUAAGAAUAAGCACCGGCUAACUACGUGCCAGCAGCCGCGGUAAUACGUAGGGUGCAAGCGUUAAUCGGAAUUACUGGGCGUAAAGCGUGCGCAGGCGGUUAUGUAAGGCAGAGGUGAAAUCCCCGGGCUCAACCUGGGAACUGCCUUUGUGACUGCAUAGCUAGAGUACGGUAGAGGGGGAUGGAAUUCCGCGUGUAGCAGUGAAAUGCGUAGAUAUGCGGAGGAACACCGAUGGCGAAGGCAAUCCCCUGGACCUGUACUGACGCUCAUGCA
rnacentral:rRNA from 1 species